AGAGUUUGAUCCUGGCUCAGGACGAACGCUGGCGGCGUGCUUAACACAUGCAAGUCGAGCGGUAAGGCCCUUCGGGGUACACGAGCGGCGAACGGGUGAGUAACACGUGGGUGAUCUGCCCCGCACUUCGGGAUAAGCCUGGGAAACUGGGUCUAAUACCGGAUAUGACCUUGGACUGCAUGGUUCUUGGUGGAAAGGUUUACUGGUGCAGGAUGGGCCCGCGGCCUAUCAGCUUGUUGGCGGGGUAAUGGCCUACCAAGGCGACGACGGGUAGCCGGCCUGAGAGGGCGACCGGCCACACUGGGACUGAGACACGGCCCAGACUCCUACGGGAGGCAGCAGUGGGGAAUAUUGCACAAUGGGCGAAAGCCUGAUGCAGCGACGCCGCGUGAGGGAUGACGGCCUUCGGGUUGUAAACCUCUUUCAGCAGGGACGAAGCGAGAGUGACGGUACCUGCAGAAGAAGCACCGGCCAACUACGUGCCAGCAGCCGCGGUAAUACGUAGGGUGCGAGCGUUGUCCGGAAUUACUGGGCGUAAAGAGCUCGUAGGCGGUUUGUCGCGUCGUCCGUGAAAACUUGGGGCUCAACCCCAAGCUUGCGGGCGAUACGGGCAGACUUGAGUACUGCAGGGGAGACUGGAAUUCCUGGUGUAGCGGUGAAAUGCGCAGAUAUCAGGAGGAACACCGGUGGCGAAGGCGGGUCUCUGGGCAGUAACUGACGCUGAGGAGCGAAAGCGUGGGUAGCGAACAGGAUAAGAUACCCUGGUAGUCCACGCCGUAGACGGUGGGCGCUAGGUGUGGGUUUCCUUCCACGGGAUCCGUGCCGUAGGCUAACACAUUAAGCGCCCCGCCUGGGGAGUACGGCCGCAAGGCUAAAACUCAAAGGAAUUGACGGGGGCCCGCACAAGCGGCGGAGCAUGUGGAUUAAUUCGAUGCAACGCGAAGAACCUUACCUGGGUUUGACAUAUACCGGAAAGCCGUAGAGAUACGGCCCCCCUUGUGGUCGGUAUACAGGUGGUGCAUGGCUGUCGUCAGCUCGUGUCAUGAGAUGUUGGGUUAAGUCCCGCAACGAGCGCAACCCUUGUCCUGUGUUGCCAGCGCGUAAUGGCGGGGACUCGCAGGAGACUGCCGGGGUCAACUCGGAGGAAGGUGGGGACGACGUCAAGUCAUCAUGCCCCUUAUGUCCAGGGCUUCACACAUGCUACAAUGGCCGGUACUGAGGGCUGCGAUACCGUGAGGUGGAGCGUAUCCCUUAAAGCCGGUCUCAGUUCGGAUCGGGGUCUGCAACUCGACCCCGUGAAGUCGGAGUCGCUAGUAAUCGCAGAUCAGCAACGCUGCGGUGAAUACGUUCCCGGGCCUUGCACUCACCGCCCGUCA
rnacentral:rRNA from 1 species